AUUGAACGCUGGCGGCAGGCCUAACACAUGCAAGUCGAGCGAGCGGCGGACGGGUGAGUAAUGUAUGGGGAACUGCCUGAUAGAGGGGGAUAACUACUGGACACGGUGGCUAAUACCGCAUACCAUCGGAUGUACCCAGAUGGGAUUAGCUAGUAGGUGGGGUAAAGGCUCACCUAGGCGACGAUCCCUAGCUGGUCUGAGAGGAUGAUCAGCCACACUGGGACUGAGACACGGUCCAGACGCCUACGGGAGUCAGCAGUGGGGAAUAUUGCACAAUGGGCGCAAGCCUGAUGCAGCCAUGCCGCGUGUAUGAAGAAGGCCUUAGGGUUGUAAAGUACUUUCAGCGGGGAGGCGUUACCCGCAGAAGAAGCACCGGCUAACUCCGUGCCAGCAGCCGCGGUAAUUC
rnacentral:rRNA from 1 species